AUUGAACGCUGGCGGCAUGCUUUACACAUGCAAGUCGAACGGCAACAGGGUGCUUGCACCGCUGACGAGUGGCGAACGGGUGAGUAAUGCGUCGGAACGUGCCGAGUAGUGGGGGAUAACGCAGCGAAAGUUGUGCUAAUACCGCAUACGUACUGAGGUAGAAAGUGGGGGACCUUCGGGCCUCACGCUAUUCGAGCGGCCGACGUCUGAUUAGCUAGUAGGUGAGGUAAAGGCUCACCUAGGCGACGAUCAGUAGCGGGUCUGAGAGGAUGAUCCGCCACACUGUGACUGAGACACGGCCCAGACUCCUACGGGAGGCAGUAGUGGGGAACUUUGGACAAUGGGCGAAAGCCUGAUGCAGCCAUGCCGAGUGUCUGAAGAAGGCCUUCGGGUUGUAAAGGACUUUUGUCAGGGAGGAAAUCCCUAGUGCUAAUAACACUGGGGGAUGACAGUACCUGAAGAAUAAGCACCGGCUAACUACGUGCCAGCCGCCGCGGUAA
rnacentral:rRNA from 1 species